rnacentral:rRNA from 1 species
CCAAUAGCGUAUAUUAAAGUUGUUGCAGUUAAAAAGCUCGUAGUUGAAUUUCGGGAUCAAUUAAUUGGUCGUGCCUCUGGUACGUACUGAUUUUAUUGGUUUCUCCCUUCUGAAGAACCAUGAUGUCAUUAAUUUGGUGUCGUGGAGAAUCAGGACUGUUACUUUGAAAAAAUUAGAGUGUUUAAAGCAAGCUAACGCUUGAAUACAUUAGCAUGGAAUAAUGAAAUAGGACGUUUGAUCCUAUUUUGUUGGUUUCUAGGAUCGACGUAAUGAUUAAUAGGGAUAGUUGGGGGCAUUAGUAUUCAAUUGUCAGAGGUGAAAUUCUUGGAUUUAUUGAAGACUAACUACUGCGAAAGCAUUUGCCAAGGAUGUUUUCAUUAAUCAAGAACGAAAGUUAGGGGAUCGAAGACGAUCAGAUACCGUCGUAGUCUUAACCAUAAACUAUGCCGACUAGGGAUCGGAUGAUGUUAAUU